rnacentral:lncRNA from 1 species
AAGAACACUAUGAAGAAACAGUUCCCUAUAUUUCUGUAUAUGUCUGUUCUGAAGAUGUUCUCAUAUAAAAUGGUGCCUAAGAACGUAGAUUCAAGGCCAGGCAUGGUGGCUCACACCUGCAAUCCCAGCACUUUCGGAGGCCAAAGCAGGUGGAUCACGAGGUCCAGAGUUCAAGACCAGAAUGUCCCCAUGAAGGAAAGUAUUAUUAUCUUCCCUUUAAAGAAUACAAAAAUUAUGAGACAUAUAUUAAUUUGCUCAAGGACAUGCAGCUAGCAAGUAAAUGCUGGAUUGAAACUCAGGUCUAUUUGCCUCCAACGCUGUGUCUAUGACCAAUGUAUUACGCUUGUUAGAGGUGAAUCUUCCAUGUCCUCAUGGAGGCUUUACCAUGCUCAGAGUAGGACGGUGAUAAUGUAUCAACUAGAAAGAUGCUGCUCCACAGCCACUCCCACCAACACUGCUCCUGAUGCCACCUACCAGGGGGCCUAAAAUCACAAUAUUAAAGUUUCAAUCUUGUAGGUUAAGGAUCUAAUAGCUGUAAGAGUCCCAUUGAAAUGCCAGUACAUCUUAGAUAUGACACCAAAAGCACAAACAAU